UUUUUUGUUUGUUUGUUGUUUUGGUUUUUUAAUUACAGUUCUGCCUACUUAAUCAUGUAUACACUUGAAAUCAGCUUCAGCUAUGCUUAUUCAUCUUGACCAGAUUCUUCAGCAGCAGCCAGUUGCAUACAGUGAUGUAGAAUUCACAGCAUUCCCAGAGAAUCUCCUCCACUACUUCAGGUUUGAAUCCACCAGUGAGAUUCAUCACAGAUCACUUCUGCCCUGAGGUCACCUGCCCAAACCCUAGCUAACUGUACAGAAAGACAAUUAAAGAUUCAGGAGGAUCCUGAAAUAUCUGCUAAAAUCUGAAGAGAAAGAACUUGGCAACAAGAUUCAUGCUUUCUUCUCUACCAGGCUCCUCAAGCUCACCCACAGGGGUGUUGGCCUUUCUAUUGAAGCUGCAUAGAACUUAAUAACAGCUUGUCAAUAAGGCAAAAAUUAAUGACAAUAUCUUUGAUAGGUAGAGGAAAAACCCAAAUCCCACAGACUACACAAUUAUAUUUGUGUUAUCCUUCUCUCACCAUCAGCUUUGCUAUAUUUAUGGGCAAGAUGAGUCUUAAAGUGGGUCUAGAAAUAUUAGAUGAGAAAUAUGACAACUUGUCAAAUUAUAUUAUCUAUGAAGAUAAAUUCCUUAUUUAUGUCAUGGCUGGUUUCUGGCCAUCCUGCCUGAAUAUGUUCCUGUGAACCUGCUUUAGCAGGGAAGUUGUACCAGAUCAUAUCCAGAGGUCCCUCCAACCCCAAUCAUUCUGUGGUUCUGUGACCAGAGAAAAUAAACCAAACCAUUCUGCAGCUGCUCGGGCAGCUGGGGAUUCUUUUGCCAUGGCUUCUUUCUCCAUGGACCAAUUGUAUUUUGUCACCAGGUAAUCUCAGUUUUGCAUCAACACUGUGUAGUGGGAAAGAAAAGAGAAUCUAGUAACCAAACCUUUCAUAGUAAAUGCCUCAACCUUUAUCUCUGAGUUGGUGUGUAAGCAAUUAAACUUUUCCAUGCUGAUCAUCAAGUUUAAAGUAGCUGUUUUUAUCUCAAUUAGAAAGUACCUUAAAUUACUGUAUAUUUAGACCCUCGGAAUAGAAAGCUAGCAGAAUGAGUUGGAUUUUAGAUUCCUAAAAUUAUUAAUACAUUGGCAUAAAAAAAGAGUGCUUUUGUUUUGUUACAAAACAAGCACAAGCCCUGCUGUUUGAGCCUAGAAUAUUAAAUUAGAUGUAACUCUGUUAUUUCUACAUUUACUGGCAAUCAGAGGAUAAAUACACCCUGGGUGAUGGAAUUUCUGCAUUGUUAUAAAUUGUAAUAAAAACUUAAGAUUAGUAUUUCUGUGGCCACCUAGUCUUUUUAUUUUCUUUUUCCUUCAAAUUGCAAUCCUAUUUAUCUUCAAAUAAUACCUGCAAGAAAUCAAGUUUCUCUUACAGUCACAGAACCACAGAAUGGGAAAGACAGAAGGGAGCACUGGAGGACCCUGGGCCAACCUUCCUGCUCAUGCAGGGUGAUCUGAGAGCACAUGGCACAGGAUUCCAUUCAGAUAGUUCUUGAAUAUCUCAAUUGAGGGAAACUCCAUGAUCUUUUUGGGCAACCUGUUCCAGUGCACUGUGACUCACACUGUAAACAAAUUUUUCCUUAUGUUCAGGUGGAACUUCUGUACAACAGUUUCUGCCUUUUGUUCUAUUGCUUGGCAUCACUGAGCAGAGCCUUGCUCCAUCCUCUCAACACCCUCCCUUCAGACAUUCAUAGACAGUGAUGGGGCCCCUCUUAGUUGUCUCUUCUCAAGGCUGAACAUGCCCAACUCUCUCAGCCCUUCCUUGUAAGAGUGAUGCUCCAGUCCUUUAAUCAUCUUUGUUGCCCUUCACUGGACCCACUCCAAGAGCUCCAUGUCUCUUUUGUACUGAGGAGCCCAGAACUGGACACAGCAUUCCAGGUGAGGCUGCACCAGGGCUGAGCAGAGGGCAAGAUCAUCUGCCUCAACCUGCUGGCAAUGCUCCCUCCCACAUAACCCAGGAUACCAUGGGCCUGCUUGGCCAUAAAGGCAUCACUGGCUCAUGAACUUUCCAUAUAGCAUAAAAACUUGACAUUCAAAUAAUGUAAGCCUGUGAGAACUAAGUAAUGACUGACCAUUUAGGCCUGCAUGAGGCUGAGAAUUUUUUUCUUUCUAUGUGCUACAUGAAUCCACUGUCUCAUUACAAUCACAGAUUUUUUAUUUUAUACCCAUUUGAUACACAAUCAGAAGUACACCAGAGGGUGUUUUAAACUUUGGCUGAAGGUACAGCCCCAUCAUUUGGAGAGUAAGAAAUUAUGUGUAUGUCAGUUUAGGGUGUGGUUGUUUAGACUGGAUCCCAGUCUUUGAAAGGGACAAAAUCAAGAUUAGUUAGCAGGAUUGCCAAAGUUACAUUCAGCAUCUUAAUCAAGCCCAGUGUUUACAGGCAACUGAUCUGCAAAGUUAUCGGCAAUUUUCUUGUUAGAUUUCAUGAGACAGUAAGUGAGCAAGAUAUCCCAGGCAAGACAGGAUGCUGCUGCUAACAUCUUAUGGUCAGGCCCUUCAAAAGUAACCUCUUCCUUAUCUAUUUUCCUGUUGAUGAGCGGCAACAAUGACCUAAAAGUAUUUUUGAAGGGCCUAGAUUAAAAUCACAUGCAUUAAAAAAAAACCCAAAACACCUAAAUGAAAAAUGCACUCUUCCCAUAAUAUAAAACUGGGAGAAUCUAAGCCCUGCAGAAUUAGCAGUUUGUGUAAAAGCUAGAGGUACGCAGUGAUUGAACAACUUCCUUAAACAAAAACUGUUCACACAAGUAGCACAGUUCUGCACUGACUGGUGAGUAAAGAGCUCCACAAAGCGUUCCAGUAAGUUCUUUGGGAAUCUUACAAGCACAUAUAGCAUGCCUUGAAGGAGAAAUUAACUCAGGCCAUCUUGUGUCAGGCAGGUUGUAACCAGCAGUGCCAAACCAGUGCAGAAAAACAGAAAAAGACAUUUAUAGCAUAAUAAUUCUUAGCAUCAAGAAGUGUGGCUUUGUUUAUUAACCUUCAUGUCUCUGCAGUUGAAUCAACAAGAUCUAAUGUUCAAAGAGCAUAAUGCACAGUCAUUUAUUGUUGAAGCAAACACACUCAACAAUGACCGAGUUGAUUGGGAGAGGUCUGCUAUCAAAAAUCUUCAACUGGUUCAGUAUCUGAUAGACUAGUGAAGGCUCUGUGAAAGAGGAUAAACUUGUUGAAACACAAACAGCAACAGUAUAAACCCUAUAUGCUUUUGAAAAGAUAAUUAAAGCCUCAGCAAGACAGAAUUUUAAGCUGUUGAAUCAUAAUGAGAACAUACACACAAAAAGGAAAAGAGCUUAUCAUCCAACCAAACAUCACAUAUGAAGAAAAGUAUAGAAACCACUUUCAGUUAAAGAUGUGAUAGAAGAGACUACUUUGGUAGCAAACUAUUUUUAGAACUUUAUUGUGACCUUAAAUAGAAAAACUACUUUCAGAGCUUUGCACAAUGGGGAACCUUAGUUACACAAUUCCCAAGAUACUUCAAAUUUGAUGACCAGAUGAGUUGAAUUCUGCACAUACAGAAAUGACAUUUUGCUGAAGGUACUGUAUUGCUGCUAUUAAAUCUCACACUGCUUUUGGAUAAUUUGGCCAUAGGAGAGAUCUGGAAGAGGAAAGAAAAGGAAAGAAAGAGAGAAGGUCUGUAAUGUUGAAAAACACAUUCAGUGUUUUUCUUUGAAAGAAAUGAAACAGCAACAGCGUUACUGUUUCAGUAACAUUGCCAUGUUUUUUGGUAAGAACUAAACCUAACAACUUCAGGUUUUUGUCAGAAGUAUUUAAUUAGAAAAGAACCCACAAUCCUUCUUUCCAGCACCCACCCACACUGCUGACUAAACAGACCAUGGAGCUACAGACAGGUCUUCCUAGAUCAUCAACAGAAUUCAUAGUACUGAACAGCAAUUAUCUUAAUUUCUUUAGCCUUUGGAUUUUUUUUGUGUUGAGAUCAUAUUUGUUUUAAAAGGAGUUUCAAUUUUUUUUUACAGGCAAUGAUACUUACCGAAUAUAUUCUCUAGGUAUGUGCUAGGCAGCACCACGGCAGGGUAGAAAUAGAACCUGUAUUCAACCACAGAGCUGCAAGCCUGCAAUAUUAUGCAACAUACUUCAGUCCACCCUCCCUUAAAAGAAGUUUCUAAGCAUUGAGCAAUAUGGCUUUGCAGACCAAGAUGGGCUCUGGAGGGGAAAAGGAAACACAGAAAACCCUCAAUAAAAAUCCUACAGAUCCUGCAUUGUAAAAGCCAUAUGCACAUACAAGAGAAACAGUCUUGCUUGGAAGCAACCUUAAAGAUCAUAUAAUUUGACCUGCUGGCCAUGGGCAACAGCACCUUCCACCAGACCAAGUUGUUCAAAAGCCCAUCCAACCAGGCCUUGAACACUUCCACGGAUGGGAAGUCCACAACUUCUCUAGCCAGCCUGUUCCAGUGUCUCACCACACCCACAGUAUUCUUCCUAGUAUCUAAUCUGAAUGUACUCUCAUUAAUCUUGAGGCCAUUUGCUCGUGUCUUACUGCUCUUGUGAAAAAUCCCUCUCCAGCCUUCUUGUAUGUCCCUAAGCUGCACAGCUAGAAAAACACUUUACAUAGUAGAUUUAAUGGAGGAAUUACAGAAGGUAUGCUUUACUUCCAUUAAAAGCUCUGAUUCUCACAAAAGGACAGAGCAGCUGUACUUGAAGUAGGUUGUAAAUAAAACACAGGACCUAAAAAUGUUACCCUGCUGAACUGUCUUAGACUAAGUAGCAAAUACUAUGGAAUAAGAAUGAUCACUAACUUGAGAUUAAAAUAUUACUCUCAUUGUAAGAGCUUUUUUGGAGCCGGACAACUCAUACUGCUACCUUAGCACUCCUUAAAGACAUUUGUUCUCAUUGUCACUGGACUGUUUCUCUCUGGUUUUUAGCAGCAUCUGAAUUAAUGUUCAACAGCAAAGGCAUCCGUCUGGAAAUGGUCUCUGGGAUGACUCACUUUUCUGAGGUCUCUCCUUCUCUCUUGCCUCUACCCCCCACACCUUCUCUCACCUACAUACUCUCCCACAACUUCUGCUUUCAUUAUAUUUUUUUAGACAUCUUUGUACUCACCUGCUACAUGACGAAGAACUCAAGUUCAAAUAUCUCAGCACAGUUAAGAAAACACAAGUGGGAAUUUUUAUUGUAUUUUCAAAAUAUACAAUAAUCUUCUUUCCACCUCUGUAAAUGGGUGAGCCCCGGGGCUAUAAAGAAAUCUUUUGGGACUGAUCCAAACCAUACG